rnacentral:rRNA from 1 species
CUACCCACUCCUACGGGAGGCAGCAGUGGGGAAUAUUGCACAAUGGGCGCAAGCCUGAUGCAGCCAUGCCGCGUGUAUGAAGAAGGCCUUCGGGUUGUAAAGUACUUUCAGCAGUGAGGAAGGUGGGUAUGUUAAUAGCAUAUUCAUUUGACGUUAGCUGCAGAAGAAGCACCGGCUAACUCCGUGCCAGCAGCCGCGGUAAUACGGAGGGUGCGAGCGUUAAUCGGAAUUACUGGGCGUAAAGCGCAUGCAGGUGGUUUGUUAAGUCAGAUGUGAAAGCCCGGGGCUCAACCUCGGAAUUGCAUUUGAAACUGGCAAACUAGAGUACUGUAGAGGGGGUAGAAUUUCAGGUGUAGCGGUGAAAUGCGUAGAGAUCUGAAGGAAUACCGGUGGCGAAGGCGGCCCCCUGGACAGAUACUGACACUCAGAUGCGAAAGCGUGGGGAGCAAACAGGAUUAGAUAACCUGGUAG